UUGAUUACGUCCCUGCCCUUUGUACACACCGCCCGUCGCUGCCCGGGACUGAGCCAUUUCGAGAAACUUGGGGACUGUUGAUCUAAUUUUUUUAAGUUACUUUGAUGGAAACCAAUUUAAUCGCAGUGGCUUGAACCGGGCAAAAGUCGUAACAAGGUAGCUGUAGGUGAACCUGCUGCUGGAUCAUUA
rnacentral:rRNA from 1 species